GACGAACGCUGGCGGCGUGCUUAACACAUGCAAGUCGAACGGUGAAGGGGCCUGCUUUUGUGGGUCCUGGAUGAGUGGCGAACGGGUGAGUAACACGUGAGUAACCUGCCCCCUUCUUCUGGAUAACCGCAUGAAAGUGUGGCUAAUACGGGAUAUUCUGUGCCUGCUGCAUGGUGGGUGUGGGAAAGAUUGCGCCCUUUUUGGGUGUUUUUGGUGGGGGAUGGGCUCGCGGCCUAUCAGCUGUUGGUGGGGUGAUGGCCUACCAAGGCGGUGACGGGUAGCCGGCCUGAGAGGGUGGACGGUCACACUGGGACUGAGACACGGCCCAGACUCCUACGGGAGGCAGCAGUGGGGAAUAUUGCACAAUGGGCGCAAGCCUGAUGCAGCGACGCCGCGUGAGGGAUGGAAGGGCUUCGGGUUGUGAACCUCUUUCGCCAGUGAAGCAGGCCUGCUCCUUGGUGGGUGG
rnacentral:rRNA from 1 species